rfam:Magnaporthe oryzae 70-15 chromosome 1, whole genome shotgun sequence.
GCCCGGCUAGCUCAAUCGGUAGAGCGUGAGACUCUUACACAUAGGAUGAUUCUUCGUCUGGGACCAUCUCAAGGCUGUGGGUUCGACCCCCACGUCGGGCU